rnacentral:rRNA from 1 species
GAUGACCUACGGGAGGCAGCAGUGGGGAAUAUUGCACAAUGGGGGAAACCCUGAUGCAGCGACGCCGCGUGGGCGAGGAAGUACCUCGGAAUGUAAAGCCCUCUCAGCAGGGAAGAAACAGGACAGUACCUGACUAAGAAGCCCCGGCUAACUACGUGCCAGCAGCCGCGGCAAUACGUAGGGGGCAAGCGUUAUCCGGAUUCAUUGGGCGUAAAGGGAGCGCAGGAGGCAUGGCAAG